CCACAGCAAUAAUACUCCCAGUAAUGUGUCUGAGUGUAUAACAGAGCUCCACAGCGAUAAUACUCCCAGUAAUGUGUCUGAGUGUAUAACAGAGCUCCACAGCAAUAAUACUCCCAGUAAUGUGUCUGAGUGUAUAACAGAGCUCCACAGCAAUAAUACUCCCAGUAAUGUGUCUGAGUGUAUUACAGAGCUCCACAGCAAUAAUACUCCAAGUAAUGUGUCUGAGUGUAUAACAGAGCUCCACAGCAAUAAUACUC